rnacentral:lncRNA from 1 species
GAGGUUUUGUUGCCGGCCCGGUAUGAUGUGGGUGACGGCUCCGGGGGUCCUGGAGGUGGAACCAGGGCCCUAAAGCCAACAGUUGCCUGCACCCAGACGGGGAGGACUUUGCAGAGUUGGGGGUGGGAAAGCACUUAUCAGAAUCCUACUAAGGACUGCACCGGGGAGGAGCCGCUGCACAGCGAAGUGCGGCCAGGCCGGGUCUGUGGAAAAUUCAGCUCUGGGGAGCCCUGGGGGGCUCAGCCCUUGGGCAUCUGCCUUGGGCUCAGGUGGUGACCCCUGGGUCCCGGGAUCGAGUCCUCGCCGGCCCUGCAGGGAGCCUGCUUCUCCCUAGGCCUGGGUCUCGGCCUCUCUCUCGGGGUCUCUCGUGAAAAAAUAAGUAAAAUCUUAAAAAAGAAAACAAAAGCAUCUGUGGGGCAAGGAAGAAACCGAAACCGGAGCAAGCCCAGGCAGAGGUCGGCCUUCCGGAGCUGAGGGCGAGGCGGGCUCCCCUGGGCCCAGCGCCCCCCCUUCACCGCCCCCCCCCCCCCCCCGCGUGCCCUGCCCCUCCCGGCGCGGACCCCCCUCCGGGCACCGGCACCCGCGACGCAAGGGCCCGCAGCCCCCCCUUCUCGGGUCCCAGCCCCCUUGCAGGCCCGAACCGGGUCGGAACUGCGCUCCUAUCCGGGGGUUCUUUCUUCCCCCAGGAGUCCCCAGGUUGCACUUUGCUUCCAUCACAGACUGGAAAACAAAGCUCAGAGGCUUGGGGCACUCUACCCAACUCACAGGCUUGGUGCAAAGGCCUGGAUUCGGACACGCGGGGGUGGGGGGAGCUUUUCACCAGCCACUCUGCCUGCACACCUGUAACCAGACAGAGGAACGCACUGAAGGAGUAAAGACAACCCUGACUGCGAGAGGAUCCGAGCUAGUACUUUAAAGACACGGGCACCUCUACGCAGACACAGUGUAUGAAGACACUCGUGUUUCACAGAUGGGGAAACUGAGGCACUGGGAAUUUCUGCCUGAGUUCACUUACGUACUAAACAAAGAACUAAGCUCUAGACCCAGGUCAGUCAAUGUCACGUUCAUUCUUUUUUUUAAGAUUUUAGUUAUUUAUUCAUGAAAGACACACACAGAGAGGCAGAGACACUGGCAGA